rnacentral:rRNA from 1 species
GACGAACGCUGGCGGCGUGCCUAACACAUGCAAGUCAACGAGAAAGGGGUAGCAAUAUCCUGAGUAAAGUGGCGCACGGGUGAGUAACACGUAGGUAAUCUGCCAUUAGGACGGGGACAACCACGCGAAAGCGUAGCUAAUACCCGAUGAAUCAGCGAUACCGCAUGGUAUUGCUAUUAAAUACCGCAAGGUGCCUAAUGAUGAACCUGCGUCCCAUUAGGUAGUUGGGAGGUAACGGCUCACCAAGCCGACGAUGGGUAGCUGGUCUGAGAGGAUGGAUCAGCCACACUGGAACUGAGACACGGUCCAGACUCCGUACGGGAGGCAGCAGUGAGGAAUAUUGCGCAAUGGCCGAAAGGCUGACGCAGCGACGCCGCGUGAAGAUGAAGUCCGUUAGAUGUAAACUUCUUUUGCAGGGGAUGAAUGUCCCGCCAUGUGCGGGAUUGACCGUACUUGCGAAUAAGGAUCGG